GUAUUAUUUUAAUUUUAGUUUCUUGUGUACAAUUUGGAAAUUAGUAUGGCGUUCAUUAUCACUGAACUAGUAUAUAUUUGUUUAGGGGCCAGCUGAAGGACGACUCCGGGUGCGGGAAUUUCUCGCUACAUUGAAGACCUGUUGGUGACCUUCUGCUGUUGUUUUUUUCUAUGGUCGGGUUGUUGUCUCUUUGGCACAUUCCCCAUUUCCAUUCUCAAUUUAU
rnacentral:lncRNA from 1 species